rnacentral:rRNA from 1 species
GAUCCUGGCUCAGAUUGAACGCUGGCGGCAGGCUUAAUACAUGCAAGUCGAACGGUAGCAGCAGGAAGGCUUGCCUUCUGGCUGACGAGUGGCGGACGGGUGAGUAAUACCUGGGAAACUGCCUAUAAGAGGGGGGACAACACCUGGAAACGGGUGCUAAUACCGCAUAAGCCCUGAGGGGAAAAGGAUGGGAAACCAUGCGCUUAUAGAUGUGCCCAGGAGGGAUUAGCUAGUUGGGGAGGUAAAGGCUCACCAAGGCGACGAUCUCUAGCUGGUCUGAGAGGAUGAUCAGCCACAUUGGGACUGAGACACGGCCCAAACUCCUACGGGAGGCAGCAGUAGGGAAUAUUGCACAAUGGGGGGAACCCUGAUGCAGCCAUGCCGCGUGUGUGAAGAAGGCCUUCGGGUUGUAAAGCACUUUCAGCGGGGAGGAAGGCUGGAGCUCCAACAGGGCUUUCAGUCAGACGUUACCCGCAGAAGAAGCGCCGGCUAACCCCGUGCCAGCCGCUGC